rnacentral:rRNA from 1 species
UACAGAGGUGGCAAGCGUUGUUCGGAAUUACUGGGCGUAAAGGGCGCGUAGGCGGUUCGUUAAGUCCUGUGUGAAAUCCCCCGGCUCAACUGGGGAACUGCACAGGAAACUAGCGGGCUUGAGUUCGGGAGAGGGAAGCGGAAUUCCGGGUGUAGCGGUGAAAUGCGUAGAUAUCUGGAGGAACACCGGUGGCGAAGGCGGCAUCCUGGACCAAUAUUGACGCUGAGGAGCGAAAGCUAGGGGAGCAA